rnacentral:rRNA from 1 species
GAUGAACGCUGGCUACAGGCUUAACACUUGCAAGUCGAGAGGCAGCAUGCCGGUUGCUUGCAACCGGUGAUGGCGACCGGCGCACGGGUGAGUAACGCGUAUCCAACCUUCCCGCGACCAAGGGAUAACCUGCCGAAAGGCAGACUAAUACCUUAUGUCCUCCUUUGAAGGCAUCUGACGAGGAGCAAAGAUCCGUCGGUCACGGAUGGGGACUGCGUCCGAUUAGCUUGUUGGCGGGUCAACGGCCCACCAAGGCUUCGAUCGGUAGGGGUUCUGAGAGGAUGGCCCCCCUCACUGGAACUGAGACACGGUCCAGACUCCUACGGGAGGCAGCAGUGAGGAAUAUUGGUCAAUGGGCGGAAGCCUGAACCAGCCAAGUAGCGUGCAGGACUACGGCCUUACGGGUUGUAAAACUGCUUUUAUGCG